rnacentral:tRNA from 1 species
GGCGCCUUAGCUCAGUCUGGUAGCAGCAGUCGGCCGAUAACCGACAGGCCCUAGGUUCGAAUCCUAGAGGCGCCACCA